UACAGAGGGUGCGAGCGUUAAUCGGAAUUACUGGGCGUAAAGCGCGCGUAGGCGGCUUUGCAAGUCGGGUGUGAAAUCCCCAGGCUUAACCUGGGAACUGCAUUCGAGACUGCAUUGCUAGAGUAUGGGAGAGGGAAGUGGAAUUUCCGGUGUAGCGGUGAAAUGCGUAGAUAUCGGAAGGAACAUCAGUGGCGAAAGCGACUUCCUGGACCAAUACUAACGCUCAUGUGCGAAAGCGUGGGGAGCAAACAGG
rnacentral:rRNA from 1 species